AGGGACUCCGGUCCUGAGUAUAGUGGCGUACGGGUGAGUAACACGUGAAUCAUCUACCUCCGAGUGGGGAAUAACUGAGAGAAAUCUCAGCUAAUACCGCAUAACACUUACGAGUCAAAGCAGUAAUGCGCUUGGAGAGGAGUUCGCGGCCGAUUAGUUAGUUGGCGGGGUAAUGGCCCACCAAGACGAUGAUCGGUAUCCGGCCUGAGAGGGCGCACGGACACACUGGAACUGAAACACGGUCCAGACUCCUAC
rnacentral:rRNA from 1 species